rnacentral:rRNA from 1 species
UGCCAGCAGCCGCGGUAAUACGGAGGGUGCGAGCGUUGUUCGGAAUUACUGGGCGUAAAGGGGGCGUAGGCGGUUUGUUAAGUCAAAUGUGAAAGUCCACGGCUUAACCGUGGAAGUGCAUUUGAGACUGGCAGGCUAGAGUUUCGGAAGGGAAAGUGGAAUUCCUGGUGUAGGAGUGAAAUCCGUAGAUAUCAGGAGGAAUACCGGUGGCGAAGGCGACUUUCUGGACGAAUACUGACGCUGAGGCCCGAAAGCGUGGGGAGCAAACAGGAUUAGAUA